GUUAUCUGGCGUUACAUUCCGUGGUAAUCUUCGAGCACAGGUGAAUUUAAAGAUUGGACCGUACGAUUUUAUUCCGCAAGCAGAGAAUAUUAGAGAAAUGUAUCUUCCACUUGUAUGGCUGAAUGAGAGUGCGACGAUCCCGGUGGAAUAUUCGGAUCUAUAUCAUAAUUACGUUCAGAUUCCUCAGUAUGUAUUGCUUGCAAUCAUUGUACUACUCAUAUCAGUAGGGAGUGGCAUCGUCGUUGGUCUCAUCAAUUUCUUCGUCUGGCGAUUAUGGCGAGCAAGACAGAACAGAUUACAUGCUGAUACAACCAAGAAUCUCAGUCCCAUCGAAAACACAGAAGAGAUGACUGGUAAGGAGUAUGGCUCUGUCUCAAGUAAAGUUGUUUAAUCAACGAUCUCAAAAAAUCUGACAUCAAGAGAGAGAGGUGAAGGCGAGACUUAGGGAUCCAAAUGUCGUCCGUCCAUCG